UGUUACAGUGGUUACUGCAGCUCAUAGA
rnacentral:sRNA from 1 species